UAAAUCAUGAGCUCCUGGACACCCACAGCGAGACACCAAAGGCAGUGGCAGGCAGUGUUUGAAUAAAGUGCCGAGGGCUCUCGGCUCUUGGAGCAGCAGGGUGAGAUUGGUCUGCAUCUGGUGCAGGUAACUGCUGUUCUACUCUCUACUUUUAGAAGAUCAGUGUUUUAGCUUCUGCGCAUAGGUUCAGUGCAACCUGAAAACUGCUCCCCCAUUGUGAGGAACUCAGGAAGCCAUACCACUUCCUGUGUAACACCAUUUAUCAGCCCCCAUGGAGGAAACCAGUAGUGGGCACUUCCUGAAGACUCAAACUUUCUUUGUCAUCUGGAUUGUAGACUGUAGUCAUUGGCCAACGCCAGGUCAUGGAUACCAUGGUGAAUGACUGAACGCACAGACACACAUGACUUGUAAGAAUUUGAAGUGGUGAUGGGAGACAGGAGCCUGAGUUGCAGAAGAGACAGGCUGCAUGAUGAGGUAGCUGGUGGCAGAACAGGCCUUUAAGUAAGUCCCAUGGAUGGCGCCUUUCUUGUCUCCCAGGACACUGUUGAAACUAAAAGUCAGAUAUUUCAUGCCAAGCUGCUUAACAUUCAGAAGCUGAGCUUUUCCUUUGAAGCCUGGCUUCUGUGAGCACCAACUGUAAGGUUACCCUUUAAUAAAGUGGGGAGAAAGUGCUUUGCAUUUUUCUGCCAAAAUGGUGCUUUAUGUGGCUGUGGCCUUUGCUCACCUGGGAUUUAAUUAAGUCCUUGGCCCUGAGUUGUCACUUCUUGCCCAAAAAUCUGGUCUGUUCUUUGUCUUGGGUUUCAAGUAUAGGAUCAGAGAACACUCAUUAGAGAGUGAAGGAUGAAGUCACUGAGCAACAAUCUGUCUCCCACAAAGCCCUUGUGCUGAGAGGGGAUCUCUUAUUCUGCUCAUGUGUAUCUAUCUCCACUGCCGCCACUCGACAGACAGGUCUCAACGAUAGACCAUGGCCAGCUCUCAAGUCCAUCCUCUAAUCUGCACCCAGAGUUACCUUCUGGAAUGUGAAUCUUAAGGGAGGCCUCACUAGAGCCCUCAGGGUAUUUCCCAGAUGAGCCUCCCAGUGCUUGCUGGAUCUGGUGUCUCUCUCUCCAGCUGGCCUGGCUCUCCGCAUCUCAGUUUUGCUGACCCACCACUCUCCAGGCUCCUGCAUCCUGGGCACACAUCCUGCAUUGCUUGGAACCCUUGCCUUGUGUGGACGCAGAUGCUCCUUUGAUGGUUCAGCGUAGUGCCAGUGUCCUGGGACAAGCUGCUGUACGAGGGCUGGGUGACUGGUUCUCAAAUGGAUCUGCACAGCCCUGAGGACCCUGCCUUCCCACAGCACAGCACAUAGUCAGUCACUUAGUUAAGCUCGGUGUGAUGGUUUGAAUGUUUGCUCCCAGAAUUCAUGCCUUGGAAACUUAAUCCCCACAGAAAUGUGUGAGUUGUAUUUGGAGGCGGGACCAUUGAAAGGUGAUUGGGUAAUGAUACCUCUUGUGAACGGGUUAUUAUAUUUUUGAGCUAAUGGCUUUGUCAAGGAAUAGCUCUGCUAUAAAAGCUGCUCUGCUCUGUCUUACCAUGUGAUGCUUGUGCUAUGCUUCGAUACAAGAAAUUCCUUCACCAGAUCCCUGCCUCUCAGUCUCUGGAACUGUAAUAAAUAAACCUCUUUUCUUUAUAUAUUACCCAGUCUCAGAUAUUCUGUUAUAGCAAUGCAAAACUAAGAUAGACUCAUACAUAAUA